rnacentral:rRNA from 1 species
GACGAACGCUGGCGGCGUGCUUAACACAUGCAAGUCGAACGGAAAGGCCCUGCUUUUGUGGGGUGCUCGAGUGGCGAACGGGUGAGUAACACGUGAGUAACCUGCCCUUGACUUUGGGAUAACUUCAGGAAACUGGGGCUAAUACCGGAUAGGAGCUCCUGCUGCAUGGUGGGGGUUGGAAAGUUUCGGCGGUUGGGGAUGGACUCGCGGCUUAUCAGCUUGUUGGUGGGGUAGUGGCUUACCAAGGCUUUGACGGGUAGCCGGCCUGAGAGGGUGACCGGCCACAUUGGGACUGAGAUACGGCCCAGACGCAUACGGGAGGCAGCAGUGGGGAAUAUUGCACAAGGGGCGGAAGCCUGAUGCAGCAACGCCGCGUGCGGGAUGACGGCCUUCGGGUUGUAAACCGCUUUGGCCUGUGACGAAGCGUGAGUGACGGUAAUGGGUAAAGAAGCACCGGCUAACUACGU